rnacentral:rRNA from 1 species
UACGGAGGGAGCUAGCGUUGUUCGGAAUUACUGGGCGUAAAGCGCACGUAGGCGGCUUUGUAAGUUAGGGGUGAAAGCCUGGAGCUCAACUUCAGAAUUGCCCUUAAGACUGCAUCGCUUGAAUCCAGGAGAGGUGAGUGGAAUUCCGAGUGUAGAGGUGAAAUUCGUAGAUAUUCGGAAGAACACCAGUGGCGAAGGCGGCUCACUGGACUGGUAUUGACGCUGAGGUGCGAAAGCGUGGGGAGCGAACAGG